ensembl:lncRNA
GCAAGGAUGUAACACGAUGCUUCUAGUCAGCUGGUAGCUAAGCAGCUAAUGAAUGAGACAGUUAUUGUGGAGCAUGAAUUUUUGGUGCUGUUUUGUUUUACUAUUAUGAGCACAUGACCAUGAAUGGAAUUUAAUUCCCCUGCAGCAUCCGUCUUACAACAAUGGAUCAGCAAGGAGUAACCCUCACUGGACAGCAUGAACAGAUGAUUUCUUUUAUUAUUUACCUUGGAGAACUUUUAGAGAAACAUGUGCUGCCAUAAUCUAGCACAGAUGUCAAGAUGACCUCCAUCUUUACGGUUUGUUUGUUAAUAAAAUCAUGUGAAACCUUUUGUGUUUCAGCAUAACUGAGAAUCUUAGGUGUGAUGUGGCCACUUGGCAGCUGUGAUGCUUACGUUGUUUCUUCUUCUUCCUCUUGUAAAUUACUACCGCUACCAUUCCUGAUACUUCUCUGACCCACUACCCCACCCACAGUGUUAUCAAGAAGCAGCAGUUCCUCAUAAUCAAGGAGACGAGUUUACAAGCUAAAAUUAGCCCCUCAUUCUAUCUGAUGGCUCAGCGGGAAUGAUGGAUGCCAUGGGUGGGGGAGGACCACAGUGAUAUAGGAUGCUAUAACUUUCAUGUCGUCUCCAAAAAAAAUACAAUUAAAAAUUAAAAAAGAGGUUUUCCUUGAGUAAUUUGGUCAAGGUGGCUCCCUUGGGUGUUCCAGCCAAUAUGAAAAGUGGAAAAAAAGAAAAAUUGAGAGUCAAACAUCCCACAUUGCUUCCUCCCGCCGUCCUGAUUGGGGGUAGUUAGAUGGAGACAGACAACGUAUGAGUCACCAGCCCAGCCCCCACCUCAUCUCCUCUGUGAGACUGUAAAAGAAUGAUAUAGAAAGAGGAAAUAUCACAACCCAGCUGCCUGUCAGCAACCCUGAUAAUUCCACCAACUUCAGUGUAAUGCAUCGCGUCAGCUUAACCACAAAUGUCACACUUCUAUAAAAAUUAAGCAGAAUAGCCACAUAAUAAGCAUACAUUAUAUUUUUGUGUAUGCAUUUGUGUGCAGAGGCAUGGUCCACCUUAAGAGAUUACAUUGUACAGUUCUCACCCACGCACUGAUAAUCUGUCACUGCACAUUAUACAAGAUGAAAUAUGAACCUGGACGGAGUUUUAGGCAGUAAGUUGCUGAUAUUUUGG